UGAGGCAAUAACAGGUCUGUGAUGCCCUUAGAUGUUCUGGGCCGCACGCGCGCUACAAUGCUAGGUUCAACGAGUCGAUUUCGUACUUGGCCGAGAGGCCUGGUUAAUCUUCUGAAAUCCUAGCGUGCUUGGGCUUGCCUCUUGCAACUAGAGGCACCAACGAGGAAUUCCUAGUAGACGCAGGUCAUCAACCUGCAUCGAUUACGUCCCUGCCCUUUGUACACACCGCCCGUCGCUUCUACCGAUUGGUCGUCCCGGUGAACAAUCGGGAGGCCGUGCUCAUGGUCAGCAAUGGCCGGAGCGCGGUUGAACUUUUGUAAAUUUGGACGACUAGAGGAAGAAGAAGUCGUAA
rnacentral:rRNA from 1 species